UAUCAUCGAUCGGUGUGCAUGCUGGGGAAAGCAGAGUUGGGAGAGUCUUACGAGACGUUCAUCAGCCAUACCACGAUUUGCGAAGACAUGUAAGUAACUUAGAGUAAGUAAACAGUGAAAACUAAAUAUUCAUGAAACACAGGAGCAAAAAGAAUUUUAAUUAUACUUCUCUUCCUUUCAAAGAGUGCUCGUAAUCUGAACCCCAUUCCCUACCAUGCAGAAUAUAUGGGCCAUAAACUGCACAUGGAUCAAAAUGAGAAGCUUGGCAUGUUCGGUGUCACACAUGUGGUGGCAGUUGACGGCAACAGCAGCAACAUUUUUGCAAAUGCCACCAUGCCUGUGAAAAACAAUCUGCUUAUUUAUGAGCAGGUAUACAGAUGUGCAGUGGUUGCCAAUGGGAUGUGGGACCAAGUCAGAGUUGACCAUGGGAAGGAGUUCUAUCUGUGCCUGUACAUCCAGGAAAUCCUUUCCAGGCACAGGUAAAACCUCAGCAGGCAACCAUACUUGCAGACUACAUCUUCAAGGAAUCUUAGGGUGGAGCGGAUUUGGCCUGAAGUCAAUAACCGGGUAAACUACCCAAUGAAGCAGGCCCUGGUGCACCUGACUGACCAAGAGGCCAUAGACAUGCAGAACAACACAGUGAAGUUCUGUGUGUCUAACCUGACGUGCCAACUCAGCCAGAUUGGGCUAGACAGGGUUGUGCAGUCAUGGAAUGCACAUAGGAUUCCAGGUAGAGGAAUACCUAAUGAACUAGCUGCAGCAGGAUGUCCAGCACAGAUAUCGGAGGACCUGCUACCCAGUGCUUCUGUUGC